rnacentral:rRNA from 1 species
GACGAACGCUGGCGGCGUGCCUAAUACAUGCAAGUAGAACGCUGAAGCGAGGAGCUUGCUCUUCUUGGAUGAGUUCCGAACGGGUGAGUAACGCGUAGGUAACCUGCCUUGUAGCGGGGGAUAACUAUUGGAAACGAUAGCUAAUACCGCAUAACAAUGGAUGACACAUGUCAUUUAUUUGAAAGGGGCAAUUGCUCCACUACAAGAUGGACCUGCGUUGUAUUAGCUAGUAGGUGAGGUAACGGCUCACCUAGGCGACGAUACAUAGCCGACCUGAGAGGGUGAUCGGCCACACUGGGACUGAGACACGGCCCAGACUCCUACGGGAGGCAGCAGUAGGGAAUCUUCGGCAAUGGGGGCAACCCUGACCGAGCAACGCCGCGUGAGUGAAGAAGGUUUUCGGAUCGUAAAGCUCGGUUGUAAGUCAAGAACGAGUGUGAGAGUGGAAAGUUCACACUGUGACGGUAGCUUACCAGAAAGGGACGGCUAACUACGUG